AACGAACGCUGGCGGCAUGCCUAACACAUGCAAGUCGAACGAGACCUUCGGGUCUAGUGGCGCACGGGUGCGUAACGCGUGGGAACCUGCCCUUAGGUUCGGAAUAACUCCCCGAAAGGGGUGCUAAUACCGGAUAAUGUCUUCGGACCAAAGAUUUAUCGCCUUUGGAUGGGCCCGCGUUGGAUUAGCUAGUUGGUAGGGUAAAAGCCUACCAAGGCGACGAUCCAUAGCUGGUCUGAGAGGAUGAUCAGCCACACUGGGACUGAGACACGGCCCAGACUCCUACGGGAGGCAGCAGUGGGGAAUAUUGGACAAUGGGCGAAAGCCUGAUCCAGCAAUGCCGCGUGAGUGAUGAAGGCCUUAGGGUUGUAAAGCUCUUUUACCUGGGAUGAUAAUGACAGUACCGGGAGAAUAAGCACCGGCUAACUCCGUG
rnacentral:rRNA from 1 species